rnacentral:RNase_P_RNA from 1 species
GGAGUUGGCCGGGCAGCCGCCGCUGAAUUUCUCUGCGCCUCCGAAGGUGGCACAGGGUUUUCAGGGGAGGAAAGUCCGGGCUCCAUAGGGCAGGGUGCCAGGUAACCCCUGGGGGGCGCGAGCCUACGGAAAGUGCAGCAGAGAGUAGACCGCCGAUGGCCGGCUUUCUUUUUGAAAGUAUCGGCACAGGUAAGGGUGAAAGGGUGCGGUAAGAGCGCACCGCGCAACUGGUAACAGUUUGUGGCACGGUAAACCCCAUCCGGAGCAAGACCAAAUAGGAGUCCAUUGGCGUGGCCCGCGCUGGACUCGGGUAGGUCGCUUGAGGUGUAUGGUGACAUGCACCCUAGAGGAAUGGUUGUCCACGACAGAACCCGGCUUACAGGCCAACUCCCCUU